UGGGGAAUUUUGGACAAUGGGCGAAAGCCUGAUCCAGCAAUGCCGCGUGUGUGAAGAAGGCCUUCGGGUUGUAAAGCACUUUUGUCCGGAAAGAAAUCCUUGGCUCUAAUACAGUCGGGGGAUGACGGUACCGGAAGAAUAAGCACCGGCUAACUACGUGCCAGCAGCCGCGGUAAUACGUAGGGUGCAAGCGUUAAUCGGAAUUACUGGGCGUAAAGCGUGCGCAGGCGGUUUGCUAAGACCGAUGUGAAAUCCCCGGGCUCAACCUGGGAACUGCAUUGGUGACUGGCAGGCUAGAGUAUGGCAGAGGGGGGUAGAAUUCCACGUGUAGCAGUGAAAUGCGUAGAGAUGUGGAGGAAUACCGAUGGCGAAGGCAGCCCCCUGGGCCAAUACUGACGCUCAUGCACGAAAGCGUGGGGGAGCAAAACAGGAUUAGAUACCCUGGUAGUCCACGCCCUAAACGAUGUCAACUAGUUGUUGGGGAUUCAUUCCUUAGUAACGUAGCUAACGCGUGAAGUUGACCGCCUGGGGAGUACGGUCGCAAGAUUAAAACUCAAAUGAAUUGACGGGGUCAUAGCUGUUUCCU
rnacentral:rRNA from 1 species